UACGAAGGGGGCUAGCGUUGUUCGGAUUAACUGGGCGUAAAGGGCGCGUAGGCGGGUCUUUAAGUCAGGGGUGAAAUCCCAAGGCUCAACCUUGGAACUGCCUUUGAUACUGGAGAUCUUGAGUCCGGGAGAGGUGAGUGGAACUGCGAGUGUAGAGGUGAAAUUCGUAGAUAUUCGCAAGAACACCAGUGGCGAAGGCGGCUCACUGGCCCGGUACUGACGCUGAGGUGCGAAAGCGUGGGGAGCAAACAGG
rnacentral:rRNA from 1 species